AGGGAUCAUUACACAAAUAUGAAGGCGGGCUGGAACCUCUCGGGUUUACAGCCUUGCUGAAUUAUUCACCCUUGUCUUUUGCGUACUUCUUGUUUCCUUGGUGGGUUCGCCCACCACUAGGACAAACAUAAACCUUUUGUAAUUGCAAUCAGCGUCAGUAACAAAUUAAUAAUUACAACUUUCAACAACGGAUCUCUUGGUUCUGGCAUCGAUGAAGAACGCAGCGAAAUGCGAUAAGUAGUGUGAAUUGCAGAAUUCAGUGAAUCAUCGAAUCUUUGAACGCACAUUGCGCCCUUUGGUAUUCCAAAGGGCAUGCCUGUUCGAGCGUCAUUUGUACCCUCAAGCUUUGCUUGGUGUUGGGCGUCUUGUCUCUAGCUUUGCUGGAGACUCGCCUUAAAGUAAUUGGCAGCCGGCCUACUGGUUUCGGAGCGCAGCACAAGUCGCACUCUCUAUCAGCAAAGGUCUAGCAUCCAUUAAGCCUUUUUUCAACUUUUGACCUCGGAUCACGUAGGGAUACCCGCGUGAACUUAAGCAUAUCA
rnacentral:rRNA from 1 species